AUGGCGCCCAGGUCGGCCCCGGCGUCCGACACCAGCGUGGACAUGGCGCCGUCGCCGAGGACCAGCACCGUGACCCCCGCGCGCGCGUUGAUCUCGUCGCACACCCGCGUCUCCGUCAGGUACUGGUUGUACUGCUUGUACUCCGGGUGGCCGCUGAGGAAGGACGUGAUGUUGUGCGCGAUCCCCGCCGACAUCCCCCUCGCCGUCGCCGCCGGCGCCAUGCCGCAGCAGCAGGCCAGGAGGACCACGGCCACCACGCGCCGCAGCUGCGCCCCCGCCAUGGCCGAGCUCAGUAGUGGCCGACGCACUGAUGAUGGAUCGAUGGCGCUGAAAUGGACCGAGCACCUAAGCUGGCUGGCUAGCCGGAGUGAGCUGUGA
rnacentral:rRNA from 1 species